rnacentral:rRNA from 1 species
CCUACGGGAGGCAGCAGUGAGGGAUAUUGCACAAUGGGGGGAACCCUGAUGCAGCGACGCCGCGUGGGUGAAGGAGUGCUUCGGCAUGUAAAGCCCUAUCGGCAGGGAAGAAGCAAGACGGUACCUGACUAAGAAGCCCCGGCUAACUACGUGCCAGCAGCCGCGGUAAUACGUAGGGGGCGAGCGUUAUCCGGAUUCACUGGGUGUAAAGGGAGCGUAGACGGCCAUGCAAGCCAGGGGUGAAAGCCCGGGGCCCAACCCCGGGACUGCCCUUGGAACUGCAUGGCUGGAGGGCGGGAGGGGCAGGCGGAAUGCCUGGUGUAGCGGUGAAAUGCGUAGAUAGCAGGAGGAACACCGGCGGCGAAGGCGGCCUGCUGGACCGCGACUGACGUUGAGGCUCGAAAGCGUGGGGAGCGAACAGGAUUAGAUACCCCAGUAGUC